rnacentral:rRNA from 1 species
AUUGAACGCUGGCGGCAGGCCUAACACAUGCAAGUCGAACGGUAACAGGAAGAAGCUUGCUUCUUUGCUGACGAGUGGCGGACGGGUGAGUAAUGUCUGGGAAACUGCCUGAUGGAGGGGGAUAACUACUGGAAACGGUAGCUAAUACCGCAUAACGUCGCAAGACCAAAGAGGGGGACCUUCGGGCCUCUUGCCAUCGGAUGUGCCCAGAUGGGAUUAGCUAGUAGGUGGGGUAACGGCUCACCUAGGCGACGAUCCCUAGCUGGUCUGAGAGGAUGACAGGCCACACUGGAACUGAGACACGGUCCAGACGCCUACGGGAGGCAGCAGUGGGGAAUAUUGCACAGAGGGCGCAAGCCUGAUGCAGCCAUGCCGCGUGUAUGAAGAAGGCCUUCGGGUUGUAAAGUACUUUCAGCGGGGAGGAAGGGAGUAAAGUUAAUACCUUUGCUCAUUGACGUUACCCGCAGAAGAAGCACCGGCUAACUCCGUG